GGCGCUCUAGUGUAGUGGUCAUCACACGGGAUUUUGAGACGCGACUUCCCGUAACCCAGGUUCGAGCCCUGGGAGUGCCU